CCCUCUUGUCAGGGGUGAGGUUGAUCACACAGUUGGAGAUGACAAUAUCAUAGCUCUCAUCAGCCAGUCCAACAUCACCAAGGUUCUCCACGUAACCCUGGAGGAAUUCCACGUUUGGCUUUUGGUAGCCGAACUUCUCCAUGUGAUAGGCAAUGUGCUUCUUCGCCACCUCGACCUGUGCCUCAGUCAUGUCGAUGCCGGUGACAUGGCCCUGCUCCCCCA
rnacentral:lncRNA from 1 species